rnacentral:rRNA from 1 species
UACGGAGGGUGCAAGCGUUGUUCGGAAUCAUUGGGCGUAAAGCGCGCGCAGGCGGAUCAGCAAGUCAUGUGUGAAAUCUCGGGGCUCAACCCCGAAAUUGCGCCUGAAACUGCUAGUCUAGAAUGUCAUAGGGGAUAGGGGUAUUUCACGUGUAGGGGUAAAAUCCGUAGAGAUGUGAAGGAACACCGGAGGCGAAGGCGCCUAUCUGGAUGACUAUUGACGCUGAGGCGCGAAAGCGUGGGGAGCAAAC